rnacentral:rRNA from 1 species
UUAGGUGCCUAUAUCGGUGGUGUCUACCUCUUCCCAUUCCGAACAGAGAAGUCAAGCCCACCAGAGCCGAUGGUACUGCGGUAACACG